rnacentral:rRNA from 1 species
AUUGAACGCUGGCGGCAUGCCUUACACAUGCAAGUCGAACGGUAACAGGCCGCAAGGUGCGGACGAGUGGCGAACGGGUGAGUAAUGCAUCGGAACGUGCCCAGUCGUGGGGGAUAACUGCUCGAAAGAGCAGCUAAUACCGCAUACGACUUGAGGGUUAAAGCGGGGGACCGUAAGGCCUCGCGCGAUUGGAGCGGCCGAUGUCAGAUUAGCUAGUUGGUGGGGUAAAGGCCUACCAAGGCAACGAUCUGUAGUUGGUCUGAGAGGACGACCAGCCACACUGGGACUGAGACACGGCCCAGACUCCUACGGGAGGCAGCAGUGGGGAAUUUUGGACAAUGGGCGCAAGCCUGAUCCAGCAAUGCCGCGUGCAGGAAGAAGGCCUUCGGGUUGUAAACUGCUUUUGUCAGGGAAGAAAUCUUCUGGGCUAAUACCCCGGGAGGAUGACGGUACCUGAAGAAUAAGCACCGGCUAACUACGUGCCAGCCGCCGCUGUAA